UACCCUGGUUGGGAAACAGUGUAAUACACUGAGCGAUCUCGGCCAUCCUGCUCAGCCCCGCCCCCUGCUGGUCAUGUGAUUACAGACUCAUAUGGAGGCCUGCUAGGGUCAGAGGAAGGACCAGAGUGCAGGGGAACAGAGGAUCCUUGUAUGGCUGGCAGGUUACACAGGUUUUGACUCUCUGGCUUGUUUUGGAUUAACCCCUUGUCUGCUGACUCAGUUGCCCAUGUGGAUCAUCCAAGUAGAUGCGAGAGUCCAGAAUAGUUGAGAUGACACCAACCUGAGAUGGUUUCGCAGCCACAUCUGUUUUACCAAGGAGGGUCCACUGGGUUUGUCUGCCCUAUUAGUUUGUCACCUGACACCUGGGUCCCUGGCAGCGAAGUCCUCCUGCCUUGAAUGGCGAAUACCCAGGAAAAACAAAGCUUGCAAGAGCACAACACGCAGCGGAAAGUCAAUAACGGAGUUGUUUUCAAGCUAGAAGAGCAACCGCUGUUGCUUUGUGUGAACCUCACAGUGUGAAGAUGACAUCUCCGCCGACUCUGUCGUCCAUAUAUGUAUCUUAGAUACUGCUAAAAUCUUCCUAAUUGUCAGGAAAUUGCGGCGCUCUUCUAAGUUGCUGUCGCUGUGAUAGUACAUCAAACGGUUGUUCUUUAUGUCUGGCCUGUCAAAAAGCAGCAGGAGCUAAUAUUUCACUCAUAUCUCUCUUCGCCUGUGUUCUCACUCUUGUUACGGGGAAUAAAGAACCCCCCGACGGAACGUAAUUAUUGCAAAGACAAGGGAAAAUUUUGUCAUUUAGUGAGAUCUUCUCAGGGUCCCGAAAUCUCUACCACAGGUACAAUGCCGAGUCUCGCAGACCGUUUGUAUUCCGUCUAUCGUCUUACCACCCUCGUGCAACAUUGUCCAGUUGUUUUGGCGCAUGGAUGACAUCAAGAAGAAAGAUUUAUGUCUGAAGAAAAAGAAACCCUCUUCUGCUGGAAAUUGAUACUGGAAAUUGUAAAGCUUCAUAGAAUCCCGGCUUAAAGUGGAAACGUCGCUUUUAUGUUGUAGACAAGUCAUUUAAGAGAUUAAACUCUUCAA